CCGGUGAUAAGCCGAGAGGAAGGUGGGGGAGUGACGUCAAGUCCUCAUGGCCCUUACGGGCUGGGCGUACACACGUGCUACAAUGGUGGUGACAGUGGGCAGCGAGCACGCGAGUGUGAGCUAAUCUCCAAAAGCCAUCUCAGUUCGGAUUGCACUCUGCAACUCGAGUGCAUGAAGUUGGAAUCGCUAGUAAUCGCGGAUCAGCAUGCCGCGGUGAAUACGUUCCCGGGCCUU
rnacentral:rRNA from 1 species